rnacentral:rRNA from 1 species
AUUGAACGCUGGCGGCAGGCCUAACACAUGCAAGUCGAGCGGAUGAAGGGAGCUUGCUCCUGGAUUCAGCGGCGGACGGGUGAGUAAUGCCUAGGAAUCUGCCUGGUAGUGGGGGAUAACGUCCGGAAACGGGCGCUAAUACCGCAUACGUCCUGAGGGAGAAAGUGGGGGAUCUUCGGACCUCACGCUAUCAGAUGAGCCUAGGUCGGAUUAGCUAGUUGGUGGGGUAAAGGCCUACCAAGGCGACGAUCCGUAACUGGUCUGAGAGGAUGAUCAGUCACACUGGAACUGAGACACGGACCAGACUCCUACGGGAGGCAGCAGUGGGGAAUAUUGGACAAUGGGCGAAAGCCUGAUCCAGGCAUGCCGCGUGUGUGAAGAAGGUCUUCGGAUUGUAAAGCGUUGUAAGUUGGGAGGAAGGGCAGUAAGUUAAUACCUUGCUGUUUUGACGUUACCAACAGAAUAAGCACCGGCUAACUUCGUG